AUGAGUAAACACAACUGGACCAUCUUUACUUGUAACGUACGAAGUCUGAACAACCCCGCACAACGUCUGGUUGUUCGAGAUUUGGUCCGCCAAAACCGUGCUUCCAUAGUCUGCCUUCAAGAAACAAAACUUGAUGUGGUCAAUCACGUCGCUGUCCAUGAGAUCCUGGGGCCCCUCUUUCGUGACUCCUUCUUCUACCUCCAUGCAGCUGGAACAAGGGGCGCCAUAAUCUUGGCUUUCAACUCAGACCUCUUCUCCAUCUAGAGCACCUUCAACACCCUAAACACUAUUUCUGCAACCAUCUCCAUGCGAGCUUCUAUUGCAUCUUGGUGCAUCAUGGCAGUAUAUGGUCCACAAGGCGAUAGUGAGAAAUUCUCCUUCAUCAAUGAGCUUAAAACAAUCUGUCAAAACAACUUGCAUGCAUGGUUGCUGCUAGGUGAUUUCAACCUCUUGUGUAAGGCAUACGACAAGAGAAAUGCAAUGGUCAGAAGCCUGAUCAAUGCCUUCCAUGCUGCUCUAAAUAACAUGGAGGUUUCUGAGUUGCGACUUCACGGAUGGCGAUUCACCUGGACGAGCACCUGUCAAUUGCAAACAAAAACUAAGAUCGACCAUGUCUUCUACUCAAAUGAAUGGGGCCUGCUAUUCCCCCAAUGCAACCUAUGUCACGCCCAAUAUGCGACCCUAUCCAAAAGGAACUUGAAGGUCCCACCAAGGAUAGACCCGCAUAUUGAAACGCUUUUGCAAGGUGGAUAUCAUUACAUCAACAUUACAUAA
rnacentral:rRNA from 1 species